UCGUGGACCGCAGCGAGACGCCCUAAAGCGAAGGCAUUUGCCAAGAGUGUUUUCAUUAAUCAAGAACGAAAGUCAGAGGCGUGAGAGGUGAAAUCWGMKWSMGACGUGARWUCUGACNGURAACGAUGCCAACUAUNCNNRAUCCGCGAGUGGCUUUUGGUCAUUGGCGGGCGGAUCGACGGAAACGAAAGUUUUUCGGUUCCGGGGGAAGUAUGGUUGCAAAGCUGAAACUUAAAGGAAUUGACGGAAGGGCACCACCAGGAGUGGAGCUUGCGGCUUAAUUUGACUCAACACGGGAAAUCUCACCCGGCCAGUACAUCAUAAGGAUUGACAGAUUGAAAGCUCUUUCAUGAUUUGAUGAAUGGUGGUGCAUGGCCGUUCUUAGUUCGUGGUGUGAACUGUCUGCUUAAUUGCGAUAACGAGCGAGACUCCGACUGUUAAAUAGUGGGAGGUUUAUUUUGACCUCCGCACUUCUUAGCGGGAUUCGCAACUUCAAGUUGCAAGAAAUGGAGCAAUAACAGGUCUGUGAUGCCCUUAGAUGUCCGGGGCAGCACGCGUGCUACAAUGGUGGUAACAGCGUGAUUGUCCUCGCCCGAGAGGGCUUGGCAAACAGUUGAGAUAUUAUUAUGGCUGGAAUUGAGUGUUGAAAUUUUCUCUCAUGAACGAGGAAUUCCAAGUAAAUGCGAGUCAUCAACUUGCAUUGAUUACGUCCCUGCCCUUUGUACACACCGCCCGUCGCUACCCGGGACUGAGUUAUUUCGAGAAAUCUACGGACCGCUGUAUGUGGCAACAUGUGCAAUGGAAAGUAAAUUAAUCGCAAUAAUUUGAACCGGGUAAAAGUCUACAAAGGGUAGCAAAA
rnacentral:rRNA from 1 species